rnacentral:tRNA from 1 species
GCGCUCUUAGCUCAGCUGGAUAGAGCAACAGCCUUCUAAGCUGUGGGCCGGGGGUUCGAAUCCUCCAGGGCGCGCCA